CGGCGUUAAAACGAAAUAAACAGCAACUCUUCAGCUGUACUAACAAAAGCUCAAUUCGUAAAUGUGAUCGUUCCCCUCAUUUCUUGAAAAACGAUUUAAAAAGUUGACGCCUUGCUGCCAGAGCUCCAAUAUAAAAAACACCACAUCUUGGCUUUUCAGUUAUACGCAAAUGAAAAUUUAUGUUCGUGGUCACGCGCAUCUCUCAAACGCUAUCGUCUUCGACGUGUAAUAAUUCUCCAAUUAUUCCUGACAUCGUCGUGAUUCUUUCGAUCAGUUAAGGUGUCGCUAGAACUAAUAUUCUGCUUCGGAUUUUUGCUACAACCUACCAAGCUGAGCAUGCGCAUUCCAACGAUCUUUUACACGGCGCGACGAGAAAGUUUACUACGACUAGAUACGAAACGAGAAACGUCUUGGACGUCUAGACGACCGUGAGCCAAACUUCCGCGAAUUGCAAGAAAUUUUACCUGACUGCAUUACUCGUGAUAUGAAAUUCGAUUCGUGAGUAUUCCAACUAAGGCAUGAAACUCUAUCAAUCGUCGACGUUGCGUAUACAACCGUUUUGUGCAGUGAUGAGCACAAAGAAAAUAACGAAAGAUUUUUGAGACUUUUCGAGUAACUAUUCCGAAGCAUUAUUCUAGUUGUCAAGGCAACGCGCGUUGUUCGAACGAGGGUGCUAAACCGAGACGAAAAAGCGGGUGAAGAAGAGAAAAUUGAAGAUUACUGACUGGAGAAAGAGACAGGAAGAGAACGAUAUUGGAAAAAAGAAAGAGAAAGACGAAAAGUUCGGAGAUAAGUGGAGCGUGAAACGGUGAAAAGAACGAGACACGUCGGCAACGUAGCGUCGAGCUCGGUAUCUCAGUUCGUUGCUGAGAGAAUGAAAGAAAGAGAGAUAAAGAGCGUCAGAGGCGGAGCAAGAAAGACCGGUAAUGAACUCUGGCAACGUUGCCGAUUGUUUAGGAUUUUUUUACCGAGCGAGAUCGACCGUGAGAAAGAAAGAGACGAUCAUAGCGCCCGAGAAAAAGGAAAGAGAGAGAUGCGGAAAGAAGGAAAGAAGGAAAGGCGCAAAGAGAGUGAAAGAGAUGGAUAAUGGGAGAGGAAAAGGGAGAGAGCGAGGGGAAGAAAUCGAAAUAACGAGUCACUGGGUAUACCCACGAGUGGUUACAGUAGAAAAACGUCUCGUAUGUACACCUACUGUUUCGAAGUUGAGCAAACGUCAACUUCAUUUCCUCUCCCUCCCCUGUCUCUUUUGCUCUCUCAUUUUCUCUCUAUACUUGUGUCGUCCUUGGUUAAUCGAUAGCAACAAACACAAGCGUGCCAAGAAAUAUUCACGGAAAUUAUAAACCGCCUUGUACACAAACGAUUCUGUGAUAAACGUACGACGAAGGUUAGUCGAUGGACGAUGAACGCGUCAAACGAGACUAGCCGAUCUAAAGCUCUAGGGCUUAAGAUGAUGGAACGUUUUAUUUUCGACCCUGCAUUCGAUCUUCGAUCCUUCUUAUAAAUGUGACUUUUUUUAAGCUCCUUCGAUUCGUUCCCUAGAAAAUGUCAUCGAUAACGAAGACACGUUCACAGAACGAGUGAUGAUAUAACUGCAGCGAUAAAUCGAUGUCUGCGUGGAUCGCGCUGGACAAACAAAUUUCAAAAACGGGGUACCUUCGAAUCCUCGAAAUUUUUAAGUCAUCGUGUAAGCGAAAAAAAACGUGCUUUUUCCGACAACUGUUACCGGGCAGCGUGAUAGUGAGGCGAAAUAAUAAUCUUCCGGGUUCAUCAAAUUUAGGGUAUCACGAUUUAUAUCGGGCUAGACGGAUUGUAUUAUAUUCAACGACUACCGUACAUCUGGCUCUUCCCACUGGACUGAUUUCGUCGUACGUCUGAGUAUUUCAAAGAACCUACAAUGACCCGCCAACUUCGCAGUCCUGGGAAAGGUCCAAUUACUGUAGCCGUCUACUAUUUCACGUUUGGGAAGAAGACUCGAAGGUCAGAACCCGGACCUAGGUAAAAAGACCUUAGCGAGUCUUACCCCGAAGAAAAAUGGAACAAAAAGAGCCCUUGAAAAUAUAAAAAUCUGGAAACAUUAUCCAAACUCGUCAUUUUGUGUCUGGCGAGACACAGGUCAGGGGCUGUUUUUUUGAAACUGCUAUCAACUUAACUCCGUUCCGAUUUGAUGGAAUAGUGUUUUACUUUAAUUUUCAAUUCAGGAAAAAAACAGUGACGCAUUAAUUAAGAAUAAAUUUGAUGCAUGUUUUGUAUCAGCGUCAACUAUUUCUUGGUUUUUGGGCUCCAACUGAAGUGAAUAAAAAUUCUUAAAUGAUCUGCAG
rnacentral:lncRNA from 1 species